GCCGCUCGGAAAGGGAACGCGGCGCGGCAUGUUCGCCCCGCUGAGGUGGCUCCGCGAGGGGCCCCGUCACGUGCUGGUGUGCGAGGGGAGCCACGUGCGGCACGAGCGGUCCCGCCACGCGACCCGCGUGCGGGAUCACGCCUUCAACUGCCAGGUGUCUUUUUUUAUCCCUGACUGUGGAGUAGUUCCAGAAGCACUAAAAAAUACAGUUGCAGAUAUUGGGCAGUACUACUUGGUGAAGAAUUUGUCGCUUUAUGAGUUAGUUACACAGGAAUUUAUUAACACAUUUGUGAAGAAAGGUUCAUGUUAUGCUCUUACGUAUAAAACAAGGAUUGACCAAGACAAUACAGCUGCUCUGCUACCAACAGGCAAAUUAAUUAUAUCAGUAGACAAGGAUACUUAUGAAGAGCUUGGACUGCAAGGCCGUCCUUCUCUGUAUUCUGGUAAAAAGCCAAUGAGAUACAUUAUUACUGUUGACUUGACUGAUUCAACCUUCAGUCCUGAUAGUAAGAAAUACAACAGAGUGAUCUGGGCCUUGAAGGAAAAAAUGCCACUAGAGUUUGAUUUCUUGAUGGCUUGGCACCAAACAGGAUCAGAAGAAUCAAGUUUGAUGUCAUACUUUUCCAAAAACCAAAUACAGGCCCUUCAGCCAAAAAUAACAUUCAGCACAUUAAGAAAUGUGCAGUGUCCAGUUCUGGAGAGCAAUAAAUUGGAAGGAGAGCCAGAAACAGCAUGCAGUGCUCAGGAAUUAUUUGAAUGGCUAGGUGCCAUUUUCACUCACACUGACUUAGAAAAUACAUCUUCUAGUUUCUUAUCAACAUAUUCAUGUCCUCAACCGAGCACAACAGUAGAACAAGCUUUGUUGUGUACAAUAACCGGCUUUAUACUUCCAGAGAAGAUAAUUCAUUUGUUUGAACAAAUAUGUUCCUAUUUUGAAGAACCAAAGUUGGCUCACUGGAUAUCUCUCAUUGUUCAUGGCUUUGCUGACAGCCCUGUUUCCUGGAAAGAAAGUGAACAUGGUUUCCUAAAAGGCGGGGAGAAUUUAUACAACUUCGUAAUUUUUAGGAGCUUGGACUACUGGCUUCAAAUGGCAGUUGGAGCAUAUGAUGAUUGUCCUUAAAUAAUGACUACUGAAGGCAUUCAAAGACACAGAAACAUUGAUUACAUCUCCAGCCACGGCAGGAGGGAAGAAAGACAUGCACCCUUCUACAUGGAGCCCCAGGGCUGUAACUCUAAUGCUGCAUAAAGCAAAUCAUACAGCAAGAUCUUAAAGAGCAUUUGAGACAUUCUGCUAUGUCAGUUUUCAGGUGAGAGGUCAUAUUUCAUUAAUUUGCAUUUUCCCUUCUCCUUUGAAAAUGGGCAAGGGAAUCAAUCUGACAUUCAAAUGUGAAACCUAGAAGUGUGCCCUAAACAAAUCUGCCAGGCUUCAUUCCAGAAUCUCUGGUGACCAGUGGAAUCAAAACAUUUACAAGGCCUAAGAGUCAAUGCAAGUGAAGUUUGUAGCCGAGACUGAACUUUCCACUUGACACCGAUGGAAAGAGCUAAUCCUGUUAUAUCUACACUGAAUCAUCUAAGAGGUAUACCAGAUUGAAGU